UACGUAGGCAGCAAGCGUUGUUCGGAAUUACUGGGCGUAAAGAGUGCGUAGGCGGACUUAUAAGUCAGUGGUGAAAUCUCGUUGCUUAACAACGAACGUGCCAUUGAUACUGUAGGUCUUGAGUACAGAUGCCGUUGGCGGAAUGUGUCAUGUAGCGGUGAAAUGCAUAGAUAUGACACAGAACACCGAUUGCGAAGGCAGCUGACGAAACUGUAACUGACGCUGAGGCACGAAAGCGUGGGGAUCAAACAGG
rnacentral:rRNA from 1 species